GGAAUUCGUGGUGUAGCGGUGAAAUGCUUAGAUAUCACGAAGAACUCCGAUUGCGAAGGCAGCUUACUAGAUUGUAACUGACGCUGAUGCUCGAAAGUGUGGGUAUCAAACAGGAUUAGAUACCCUGGUAGUCCACACGGUAAACGAUGAAUACUCGCUGUUUGCGAUAUACGGCAAGCGGCCAAGCGAAAGCGUUAAGUAUUCCACCUGGGGAGUACGCCGGCAACGGUGAAACUCAAAGGAAUUGACGGGGGCCCGCACAAGCGGAGGAACAUGUGGUUUAAUUCGAUGAUACGCGAGGAACCUUACCCGGGCUUAAAUUGCAGAUGAAUUACGGUGAAAGCCGUAAGCCGCAAGGCAUCUGUGAAGGUGCUGCAUGGUUGUCGUCAGCUCGUGCCGUGAGGUGUCGGCUUAAGUGCCAUAACGAGCGCAACCCUUGUUGUCAGUUACUAACAGGUUCCGCUGAGGACUCUGACAAGACUGCCAUCGUAAGAUGUGAGGAAGGUGGGGAUGACGUCAAAUCAGCACGGCCCUUACGUCCGGGGCUACACACGUGUUACAAUGGGGGGUACAGAGGGCCGCUACCACGCGAGUGGAUGCCAAUCCCAAAAACCUCUCUCAGUUCGGACUGGAGUCUGCAACCCGACUCCACGAAGCUGGAUUCGCUAGUAAUCGCGCAUCAGCCACGGCGCGGUGAAUACGUUCCCGGGCCUUGUACACACCGCCCGUCAAGCCAUGGGAGCCGGGGGUACCUGAAGUGCGUAACCGCGAGGAGCGCCCUAGGGUAAAACUGGUGACUGGGGCUAAGUCGUAACAAGGUAGCCGUACCGGAAGGUGCGGCUG
rnacentral:rRNA from 1 species